rnacentral:lncRNA from 1 species
CAGAUUGAGAUCAUCAGGAAUAAAACCAGGAAUCCAGCAGCUUCCUGACAGUCAGACAGCAGACCAGAGUCUCGGUUUCUUCUCUACAGGACACUCAGCUUCCAUCAUGGCCGCAGCUAAGGAGAUGAAGCCACGUGCUGUUCCACAGGGUAUCUGCUCAUCUGGUCAGGGUGGAGACACUGAUGAGAUGGUGUGGGUUGGGUUCCUAGACUUUCUUCCUGUCAUCGGCUCUGUUAAAGAGGCUGUGGAGUGGGUCCUGGCUCUGGGUGAAGGAGAUCCCAUGCUUGCUGCUGAGAAGCAGGAGAAGAUGAUGGUUGCACUGGGGCUGCAAAAGGAGACCAGUGGAAGAAGCUCUGGAAGAUCAUCUGGGUUCAGCUCAGCCGAUGAAGGGGAACUUCUUCAUGCAUCACAUGCAUGUGUUCCACUCAUCAGCCUGACUUCUUACAUCGAGAACAUGGCGUCUAAAGGGAAGAAAGGAUCCAGGUCUCAAGAAGCCGGUCAACAGCAGAAGAAAAUGAUUGAAAUUAAAAACAUGAUAGAGGAGGCGUUUCGCCGUAUAGAUCCAGACUACCAAAUUGACGAGCAGCUUCUUAAAGACACUGGUGUACGUUCUCGAAGAGGAGAGCAUGUGAUCAACAACGAUGUUCUUAAAUUUCACACCAAAAUCCUGACAGAGAGAGGAAUCCAGCGUGAUGUGCAGUGUCCCCUGAAGAGAAGUAUUCAGAAUGAUAUCAUAAUCGCUCUGUGGAAGCUGCUGGAACCAACCAGUCAGAUGAAAUCCAACCCCCUCCCAGCAGUUCAGAACUGGAGGAUACAAAUGCAUAGAAGGACUGAAGAGAUUUCUAUAUCGGCGCUGAUGUUCCGGCUGAACGUGGUACAGUCCUGACUUCCCAGAUGUUCUCCACUCCGAU